rnacentral:rRNA from 1 species
AAGCGUUAAUCGGAAUUACUGGGCGUAAAGCGUGCGCAGGCGGUUAUGAAAGACAGAUGUGAAAUCCCCGGGCUCAACCUGGGAACUGCAUUUGUGACUGCAUGGCUAGAGUGCGGCAGAGGGGGAUGGAAUUCCGCGUGUAGCAGUGAAAUGCGUAGAUAUGCGGAGGAACACCGAUGGCGAAGGCAAUCCCCUGGGCCUGCACUGACGCUCAUGCACGAAAGCGUGGGGAGCAAACAGG